UGUAAUCUAGAGAAGUGUUUUCCGUGCCGGCCCAUGUACAAGUCCCUUGGAACAGGGCGUCAUAGAGGGUGAGAAUCCCGUCCUUGACAUGGACCCCCGGUGCUUUGUGAUACACUUUCAACGAGUCGAGUUGUUUGGGAAUGCAGCUCAAAAUGGGUGGUGAAUUCCAUCUAAAGCUAAAUAUUGGCGAGAGACCGAUAGCGAACAAGUACCGUGAGGGAAAGAUGAAAAGCACUUUGGAAAGAGAGUUAAACAGUACGUGAAAUUGUUGAAAGGGAAACGAUUGAAGUCAGUCAUGCUCUUAGGAUUCAGCCGUUCUGCGGUGUAUUUCCUUUGAGUGGGGUCAACAUCAGUUUUGAUCGAUGGAUAAAGGCACGAGGAAGGUAGCACUCUCGGGUGAACUUAUAGCCUCGCGUCAUAUACAUUGAUUGGGACUGAGGAACGCAGCAUGCCUUUAUGGCCGGGAUUCGUCCACGUACAUGCUUAGGAUGUUGACAUAAUGGCUUUAAACGACCCGUCUUGAAACACGGA
rnacentral:rRNA from 1 species